UAGGGAAUCUUCCACAAUGGACGAAAGUCUGAUGGAGCAACGCCGCGUGAGUGAAGAGGGGUUUCGGCUCGUAAAACUCUGUUGUUAAAGAAGAACAUAUCUGAGAGUAACUGUUCAGGUAUUGACGGUAUUUAACCAGAAAGCCACGGCUAACUACGUGCCAG
rnacentral:rRNA from 1 species